rnacentral:rRNA from 1 species
GUAGCAUUACGAUGGUACUAGCUGUUGGGCGCAGUUCAGUGGCUAAGCGAAGUGAUAAGUAUCCCACCUGGGGAGUACGUUCGCAAGAAUGAAACUCAAAGGAAUUGACGGGGGCCCGCACAAGCGGUGGAGCAUGUGGUUUAAUUCGAUGAUACGCGAGGAACCUUACCAAGGCUUAAAUGUAGAUUGACCGGUUUGGAAACAGACUUUUCGCAAGACAAUUUACAAGGUGCUGCAUGGUUGUCGUCAGCUCGUGCCGUGAGGUGUCAGGUUAAGUCCUAUAACGAGCGCAACCCCUGUUGUUAGUUGCCAGCGAGUCAUGUCGGGAACUCUAACAAGACUGCCAGUGCAAACUGUGAGGAAGGGGGGAUGACGUA